CUCAAACUCAAGAAAAUGGCUCUUAUAAUUAUCGCAGAGAGCUUAUCUGAAGAAGAAAUAGCUGGCUUAAAAGAAAUGUUCAAUAUGAUAGAUGCAGACAAGAGUGGUCAAAUCACUUUUGAGGAACUUAAAGCUGGUUUGAAAAGAGCAUG